CAGCGCCACGGUAAUACGUAGGGUGCAAGCGUUAAUCGGAAUUACUGGGCGUAAAGCGUGCGCAGGCGGUUUGUUAAGACAGAUGUGAAAUCCCCGGGCUCAACCUGGGAACUGCAUUUGUGACUGGCAAGCUAGAGUCUGGCAGAGGGGGGUGGAAUUCCGCGUGUAGCAGUGAGAUGCGUAGAUAUGCGGAGGAACACCGAUGGCGAAGGCAGCCCCCUGGGCCAACACUGACGCUCAUGCACGAAAGCGUGGGGAGCGAACAGGAUUAGAUACCCCAGUAGUCCCUGUCUCUUAUACC
rnacentral:rRNA from 1 species